rnacentral:rRNA from 1 species
CCUACGGGGCGCAGCAGUGAGGAAUAUUGGUCAAUGGACGAGAGUCUGAACCAGCCAAGUAGCGUGAAGGAUGACUGCCCUAUGGGUUGUAAACUUCUUUUAUAAAGGAAUAAAACGAGGCACGUGUGCCUUUUUGCAUGUACUUUAUGAAUAAGGAUCGGCUAACUCCGUGCCAGCAGCCGCGGUAAUACGGAGGAUCCGAGCGUUAUCCGGAUUUAUUGGGUUUAAAGGGAGCGUAGAUGGGUUGUUAAGUCAGUUGUGAAAGUUUGCGGGUCAACCGUAAAAUUGCAAUUGAUACUGGCAGUCUUGAGUACAGUUGAGGUAGGCGGAAUUCGUGGUGUAGCGGUGAAAUGCUUAGAUAUCACGAAGAACCCCGAUUGCGAAGGCAGCUUAAUAAACUGUGACUGACAUUGAUGCUCGAAAGUGUGGGGAUCAAACAGGAUUAGAUACCCCUGUAGUC